rnacentral:tRNA from 1 species
GCCUCAUUAGAUCAGUGGUUAGAACACUGUUCUUGUAAACCAGGGGUCCAGAGUUAAAUUCUCUGAUGGGGCU